rnacentral:rRNA from 1 species
AGAGUUUGAUCCUGGCUCAGAUUGAACGCUGGCGGCAGGCCUAACACAUGCAAGUCGAGCGGUAGCACGAGAGAGCUUGCUCUCUGGGUGACGAGCGGCGGACGGGUGAGUAAUGUCUGGGAAACUGCCUGAUGGAGGGGGAUAACUACUGGAAACGGUAGCUAAUACCGCAUAACGUCUACGGACCAAAGUGGGGGACCUUCGGGCCUCACGCCAUCAGAUGUGCCCAGAUGGGAUUAGCUAGUAGGUGGGGUAAUGGCUCACCUAGGCGACGAUCCCUAGCUGGUCUGAGAGGAUGACCAGCCACACUGGAACUGAGACACGGUCCAGACUCCUACGGGAGGCAGCAGUGGGGAAUAUUGCACAAUGGGCGCAAGCCUGAUGCAGCCAUGCCGCGUGUGUGAAGAAGGCCUUAGGGUUGUAAAGCACUUUCAGCGAGGAGGAAGGGUUCAGUGUUAAUAGCACUGUUCAUUGACGUUACUCGCAGAAGAAGCACCGGCUAACUCCGUGCCAGCAGCCGCGGUAAUACGGAGGGUGCAAGCGUUAAUCGGAAUUACUGGGCGUAAAGCGCACGCAGGCGGUUUGUUAAGUCAGAUGUGAAAUCCCCGCGCUUAACGUGGGAACUGCAUUUGAAACUGGCAAGCUAGAGUCUUGUAG